UACGUAGGGUGCAAGCGUUUGUCCGGAAUUAUUGGGCGUAAAGAGCUCGUAGGCGGCCUGUUGCGUCCGCUGUGAAAUCCCGGGGCUCAACCCCGGGCGUGCAGUGGAUACGGGCUGGCUGGAGGCAGGCAGGGGAGAACGGAAUUCCUGGUGUAGCGGUGAAAUGCGCAGAUAUCAGGAGGAACACCGGUGGCGAAGGCGGUCUCUGGGCCUGUACUGACGCUGAGGAGCGAAAGCGUGGGGAGCGAACAGG
rnacentral:rRNA from 1 species